rnacentral:lncRNA from 1 species
UAAUGUCUGAGUCCCUCAUGUUCUCACAUGGAUAACUUCUUUUCACAGCUCCACCACCAGACAUGUAAUCACCGGGUUGUCAUUGCUACCUUAGUUUUUGAUCAUUGUCAUUAACAAUGUUAAACAAUGAUCAAAAACUUUCGUAGUUUCCCGACAUAGCAAAAUGAAGUUAAUGUACUGACUUGAUUCUCAAAAUUUGGUUGGGCUGGGCGCUAGUGACAAUUGUAUAUGAGCUCUGCUGUUUGGAUGAGAAGUUGAAUCGAGAAACCUUCAACUGGAAGGUGAAGGUGCGGCCGAAAUUUUUUUUUGAUGCAUUAUAGAAGGGCCGAACUCCGGGGGUCUUGGAGCCCUGCGUUCUGGUGAGGGAUAAUAUUUCAGUUACUUGAAUAUGCAGUUUACGUAAAAUACGGACAGAGAAAUGUGCGUAAGUUGGUAAGUGUUACCAUUUGUUGGGAGACCUCUCCAACCCUGGUAUUUGUCAACUAACUUAUUACAGUAUCAAAAGCUACAAACUCAGUUGAGUCAGAUGCAUCGGAGACUGUCACAUUAACAAUUUCAGAAUGUGACAUAUAAUGUCUAUAAAAGUUUACUAUCAACAAAGCUGGAAGGAGGAAGAAUUUUGUGCUGAUAAAACAUUACCUCACAACCCCAAUUGAAUUCUCUUUAUUACAUGAAACGCAAGUGAAGGAGGAGAAGCCUCGUUACAGUAUGCGAAAAAUCUUAGUGCACGAAAUGUAGCACCAUCAGUAGAUGGUAUCAAUGCCACUUACUACCCCAGUGCAUAGGAACUUAACGUUCUACAACAAUGUAAAUUAAGAGAGGCAAAGGUUAUCUUGUGUUUACCAGUGGGGAGGCGUUCAAAACAAAGGAAUUAAGCUCAGCCAAUGUUACCGACUCUAUCUUCCUCAAUGUCUGACGUGACAAUUUUGAAUCUCGCUCUUUCUUCUCCGGCCGAUCUCUCAUCUUUACCACCUCAUGAUGAUGUCCACGGGUCUCUGACAGAUAGGAACAAAGCAAAUAAAAAAAAUCAUCAGAUAAGCUUAAAUAUUUGAAGGAGGAGGUCGAAGCAAUCAAUACCUGAGAAUUUCCGUCUCUGUUUUGUAAUUCCAUUUGAAGAAGGCACGAUGGUAGAUGAUCGUCAAGCUUCCCUGGUUCAACAAAUAAAACAAUAUGCGUGAAUUCUUUUGUUACACCCGAGUUCUAGCUUCCCAACUCCGAGCAAUUGUGCUACUUCUCACCAAAUAUGUUUCAUAUGAAGCUAUCUUUUGAGUAUCCUCGGGUUU